UACAGAGGGUGCGAGCGUUGUCCGGAAUCACUGGGCGUAAAGGGCGCGUAGGCGGCUCAGUAAGGUUGCGGUGAAAGCCCGGGGCUCAACCCCGGGUCGGCCGUGGCAACUGCUGGGCUGGAGCACUGUAGAGGCAGGUGGAAUUCCGGGUGUAGCGGUGGAAUGCGUAGAUAUCGGGAGGAACACCCGUAGCGAAGGCGGCCGACUGGACCACACCUGACGCUGAGGCGCGAAGGCCAGGGGAGCGAACGGG
rnacentral:rRNA from 1 species